CCCUUAGAUGUUCUGGGCCGCACGCGCGCUACACUGAUGAAUGCAACGAGCUCUACCCUUGACCGAAAGGCCCGGGUAAACUUGUGAAACUUCAUCGUGAUGGGGAUAGAUUAUUGCAAUUAUUAAUCUUCAACGAGGAAUUCCUAGUAAGCGCGAGUCAUCAGCUCGCGUUGAUUACGUCCCUGCCCUUUGUACACACCGCCCGUCGCUCCUACCGAUUGAAUGGUCCGGUGAAAUCUUCGGAUUGCUGGCCAAGAUCCAGCAAUGGAGCUUGGUUGCGAGAAGUUGAUUAAACCUUAUUAUUUAGAGGAAGGAGAAGUCGUAACA
rnacentral:rRNA from 1 species